rnacentral:rRNA from 1 species
GACGAACGCUGGCGGCGUGCCUCAAACAUGCAAGUCGAGCGGACGGAGACCGAACCGCAAGGGGAGGUUGAAGUUAGCGGCGAACGGGUGAGUAACACGUGGGUAACCUACCCUAAAGUCUGGGACAACGGCCCGAAAGGGCCGCUAAUACCGGAUAAUGUCUUCGGGUCGCAUGGCCUGGGGAAGAAAGCCGAAACCCGCUUUCAGAUGGGCCCGCGUCCCAUCAGCUAGUUGGUAAGGUAAAGGCUUACCAAGGCGACGACGGGUAGCCGGUCUGAGAGGAUGUACGGCCACACUGGGACUGAGAUACGGCCCAGACUCCUACGGGAGGCAGCAGUUGGGAAUCUUAGGCAAUGGACGAAAGUCUGACCUAGCGACGCCGCGUGAGGGAAGAAGGCCUUCGGGUUGUAACCUCUGUCAUGGGGAAGAAGGAAGUGACGGUACCCAAGAGGAAGCCCUCGCUAACUACGUG